AUUUUCAACACACUAUUUUUCCAUAGUUAUAAAUGUAGCCAUUUUAUGCAAAUUUUUUUCUGUUACCUGUUGCUGAAGAUAAUCUCUUCAUGGGGUCGUCAAUGUUUCUCACAUGGCCUUCUUCUUUUUCUUUUUGAAAUUGGAUGUAAAUCAUCUUUAAAAUAUCUGUUGCCUGAGGAAGAAAAUUGAUAUUGCACAUGUGUAAUAUACUAUGCAAGCUGAUACAAGCUUUCAUAAUUACCGAUAACAUUUAGUAUACUGGUAUAAUGUAUGUACCUAGGUAUAGGGUUAACUUUAGACUCUACCAGGAGCACUAAUUUUAGCCCAACUUUUCCACUAAUCAUUUUCAGUUGAAAGAUUGUCAAGAUCUCACAUCAAUAUUAAUUUUUCUUAAUUGCAAAUUUCAUGAUUCCUUGGUUAAACUUUUACAGAGAAAUAGAGAGUAAUUUUUUUAAAAUCUUAUUUUGCCAGAAUAGGAUGGAACAAAGAAUAUUGACCUGGGUUUAAAAUUGACCCGAGAGUCAUAUUUCAAUGUUGAAUACUGAUUUGGGGUGCUUUUUUCAAUGUUUUCGCAAUGAAAAGGAUAACAGCAAUACAUUAUUUUGCAGAAUUGCUUUAAAUGGCUACAAAGGUAUAGCUGUUACCUACAUAUUAUUUGGGAAAUAAAUUGUAAAACUCUU
rnacentral:sRNA from 1 species